rnacentral:sRNA from 1 species
GUCGUGAGAUGUUGGGUUAAGUCCCGCAACGAGCGCAACCCUUGUCACUAGUUGCUACGAAAGGGCACUCUAGUGAGACUGCCGGUGACAAACCGGAGGAAGGUGGGGAUGACGUCAAGUCCUCAUGGCCCUUAUGGGUAGGGCUUCACACGUCAUACAAUGGCGCAUACAGAGGGCUGCCAACCCGCGAGGGGGAGCCAAUCCCAGAAAGUGCGUCGUAGUCCGGAUUGCAGUCUGCAACUCGACUGCAUGAAGUCGGAAUCGCUAGUAAUCGCGGAUCAGCAAUGUCGCGGUGAAUACGUUCCCGGGUCUUGUACACACCGCCCGUCACACCAUGGGAGUGGGGUUCACCAGAAGCCGGUUGCCUAACCUCGCAAGAGGGGGGCGCUGACCACGGUGAGCUUCAUGACUGGGGUGAAGUCGUAACAAGGUAGCCGUACCGGAAGGUGCGGCUGGAUCACCUCCUUUCACGGAAAACAGGGAUCAGUUGUCGGUUGACGUUGUCAGCCAACAGCCGAAUACCUCAAGCCCAUCUCAAGUGUCCACAGCCUAUCGGCUGCAGCGAGUCAGUAGACAGGGAUUAGUAGGCAGUACACGGCAAGGGGCACACGCGCGCCUUACGCGCGAGGGACUACUGAUUACUGACUACUGAGCGCCGGGUCUGUAGCUCAGUUGGUUAGAGCACACGCUUGAUAAGCGUGGGGUCGGUGGUUCAAGUCCACCCAGACCCACCACGGGAUGAUCGGGGCUGUAGCUCAGCUGGGAGAGCACCGCGUUUGCAACGCGGGGGUCGUCGGUUCGAUCCCGAUCAGCUCCACCAACUCACAGAAGACAGAAGUCAGGGGACAAGGGGUCAGUGAAAUGCGUGCGGCGCUUUGCGCCGCGGCUUAAGUUCUGUGUGUCAUCUGACUUGUGGCUUUUGAUUGACUGAAGUUGGCUGUUCUUUAAAAAUUUGGAAGAAGUAAAUCGAUCGGAAGCGGUUCGAGAUCCGGGGGAGAAGGCAUGUCCCGUGGGGGGAGAGCGGCGGAAGAUCGACUGGGUUUGAUGAUUGUAUCGUCGCCUUGUCUUGUCACUUAGGACGAGGUGAUGGCAACCAAGCGCUGAAGUAGUUCAAAGCCUGUAGCGGCGAGACUUUGGGGAGCGAUCCUUGAGGGCUCAAGGUUAUAGGGUCAAGCGAAUAAGUGCAUGUGGUGGAUGCCUUGGCGAUUACAGGCGAAGAAGGACGUGGCAGCCUGCGAAAAGCUGCGGGGAGCUGGCAAACGAGCUUUGAUCCGCAGAUAU